rnacentral:lncRNA from 1 species
GAAAAGUCGAAUGUGCUUAUUUUGGUACCGAGGUCCGACAGCCCACUGAAUGUAGGCCCCCCCAGCCGGCGAGACGACCCUGCCCUCCUCGCAACCGCUAAGCACCGCCACGCUUCACCGUGCCCUCCUCGCCGUCGCCGCAGCCUCGGCUCCUCCGCCAUUUCGCCGCCCCGCCGCCUAGGCUCCUCCUCACCGCCGGCGCCCGCGGACCGUCCCAUCUGGCCCGGGAAGACGGCGCUCUCCCAACGCCUCCCCCCAUCCCCCAGAUCCCCUCGAGCUGCUCGAUCCAGACCUCCCGCUCAAAUCUCGCAUCCGCAUGCGGGGAGGACCGACGCGAGAGUGCACCGGGUGACGCCGAGCAAUCCGAUCCCGGUGCCCCCCGCCGGCCAUGGGAGGAUUCGGCGGC